GCGGGUGGGAUUUCCAGGAGACCAGCGUUCCAGGAGGAGGGAAGAGCUAACGCAAAGGCUGUGAGACGGGAGUGUGUUUGGUGCUCAAGGUGCCACAACAAAGCUGGGACCAGGUCCCAGAGCUUCCGUCAGCCCCCUCAGGGUCACAGCUGUGCGGUGCCGCCGAGCGCACCCUGGCGUGGACGCGUGGCUUCCCGGGCGGCCUCCGCGGGCGGGCGUGCAGCCCCCGUGCCACGGCAGCCCUCCCGUGCCAGCACUUGGUAAGCAGAAAUGUGGCCAAAUAGCCUGCGCUGCCUCCCGAGAACAAGUGACUUAUUUUACUGUCCUUUUUGAACACUUGAGGCCUCCCAAGGAGCUGUUUGGUUCGGGAAUGCUGCAAGAAAGCCAAAGAACACGUGGGGCGUGCUGGCCGGAGCCCGCAGGAGGCCAGCUGUGCCCCGCUGGGGGCAACCCACCCCGGGCCUGCUCCCGGGCACGCGGGAAGAGGGACACGGUUCGAGUCCAAGAAAACCAAGAGAACUGGUUUCUCUGCCUCUGGAAAUAGGUGGGCACGUCAGGCAGCAUGAAGGGCCUGCAGUGGUGGCCUCGGGAGUCCGGCCACAGGGCCUGUGAGGGACAGAACACGCAGUCACCGGGGCUGUGCCGCCCAGAGGACGGCCACUUGACCUGCGGGUCCGGUGUUCGCCAUCCAGGCCCGGCCACCAGCAACCUGAAGCAGGAGGAUUCCUGAGGGAAGCCCACUGGAGGGCCACUGAUCCCCUGGAAGGCGGUGGACAACUGGGCAGCGAGCCUUCUCCGCCUCCCAGUUCGGCAGCCCUGGGGCACAGUAUGAAGGCUGGAGGGAAAUGCACAUGGAUGAGCAGAACAGAACACUGGCUCUAUGUUCAGCCAUUCUCUUGCCUCCCUGGGACUGUGUCUGGCAGAGCC